UGUGAUCUGGUGAAUUCAGAGCUAAAUAACCGUGAGAAGAUUGUAUCAGUGAUCGUCAGCGCUUUCAAUCUUUUUUUUCUCUAUGAAUCUUCCUGAUGUCGAGAUCCCUGAUACUCUACGCAUUAAGCAACCUCAGUGUCCACACCAACCGGACAAUGUGGCAUGUGGAUACUACUUAAUGAGGAUGUUGAAGGAUUUGAUUGAACAUGCGAGUCCCGGGCAUUACUUGAGAACGCUAACAAGCACAUCAUAUACAGAGGCACAAAUUGAUGAGUUGCGACAAGAAUGGGCGACAUAUAUGUUGUCG